UGGGGAAUAUUGCACAAUGGGCGCAAGCCUGAUGCAGCCAUGCCGCGUGUAUGAAGAAGGCCUUCGGGUUGUAAAGUACUUUCAGCGGGGAGGACGGUGCUGGGGUUAAUAACCUCAGUAAUUGACGUUACCCGCAGAAGAAGCACCGGCUAACUCCGUGCCAGCAGCCGCGGUAAUACGGAGGGUGCAAGCGUUAAUCGGAAUUACUGGGCGUAAAGCGCACGCAGGCGGUCUGUCAAGUCGGAUGUGAAAUCCCCGGGCUCAACCUGGGAACUGCAUUCGAAACUGGCAGGCUUGAGUCUUGUAGAGGGGGGUAGAAUUCCAGGUGUAGCGGUGAAAUGCGUAGAGAUCUGGAGGAAUACCGGUGGCGAAGGCGGCCCCCUGGACAAAGACUGACGCUCAGGUGCGAAAGCGUGGGGAGCAAAC
rnacentral:rRNA from 1 species